CCUACGGGUGACAGCAGUAGGGAAUAUUGCUCAAUGGGGGAAACCCUGAAGCAGCAACGCCGCGUGGAGGAUGAAGGUUUUCGGAGUGUAAACUCCUUUUGUUAUAGAAGAUAAUGACGGUAUCUAACGAGUAAGCACCGUCUAACCCCGUGCCAGCAGCCGCGGUAAUAGGGGGGGUGCAAGCGUUACUCGGAAUCACUUGGCGUAAAGAGCGCGUAGGCGGGAUAGCAAGUCAGAUGGGAAAUCCGAUGGCUUAACCAUAGAAAUGCAUUUGAAACUGGUAUUCUAGAGGAUGGGAGAGGGAGGUGGGAUUGUUGGGGGAGGGGUAAAAUCCGUAGAGAUCAAGAGGAAUAC
rnacentral:rRNA from 1 species